CGAGAAAUAGUUAAACCAGAAUUCUAGCUUUGGGAGCUAGAGGUGGGGGUUAGAGUCCUCCUUUUUCGA
rnacentral:tRNA from 1 species